GAUGAAGAACGUAGCGAAAUGCGAUACUUGGUGUGAAUUGCAGAAUCCCGUGAACCAUCGAGUCUUUGAACGCAAGUUGCGCCCGAAGCCAUCAGGUUGAGGGCACGUCUGCCUGGGCGUCACAUAUCGUUGCCCAAUGCCUAUUGCAGUGCAAUAGGAAUUUCUAGGGCGAAUGAUGGCUUCCCGUGAGCGUUGUUGCCUCGCGGUUGGUUGAAAAUCGAGUCCUUGGUAGGGUGUGCCAUGGUAGAUGGUGGUCGAGUUAGAACGAUACCGAUCAUGUGCAUGCUCCCCAAAAUAUGGCCUCUAGGACCCACACGCGUCUUUUGACGCUCAUGACGAGACCUCAGGUCAGGCGGGGCUACCCGCUGAAUUUAAGCAUAUCAAUAAGCGGAGGA
rnacentral:misc_RNA from 1 species